ACUCUCGGCAACGGAUAUCUCGGCUCUUGCAUCGAUGAAGAACGUAGCGAAAUGCGAUACUUGGUGUGAAUUGCAGAAUCCCGUGAACCAUCGAGUCUUUGAACGCAAGUUGCGCCCGAAGCCAUUAGGCCGAGGGCACGCCUGCCUGGGUGUCGCA
rnacentral:rRNA from 1 species